rnacentral:lncRNA from 1 species
AUCGCCGGUUGAAUCUCUUUGUCGAUCGGUGACAUGCUUACUCUGCCGAUCGAUGUCUACAUGUAAGGGUUUUGGUGGAUGAGGGUGUAUAGCUGCAAACUCGUCAUGGGUCAUAAUCAUGACCGUCUCGCAUGAUGCAACUGGCUCCAUCGAUCGAUGUUGAACAUCCGAUGUCGAUCGUUGUUCAUCCCAUUCCAUCGAUCGAUGUUCAUCUCUUGGUGUCGGUCGACACCAAUGUGAACCGCCGAAGGUCAUGGAGCUUUUGACAUCGAAAUCUCUCUUCUGAAGCUUUUCUUCAUUAACCACUUGCAGAAGUCAUCCUCUAUGAUGGCAUUGAUGUGGUAAUUCAGUGUUGCAUUGCCUUUGAUGAAAGUUUCUUGCUUCUCAACAGCUUCUCU